CCCCACCUCCCCUCCCCCGGCCCUUCGCUCAAGCUCAGCUCUGGUGGGCACUUAAAGGGACCUUUACACUCCGGCCAACUGCUUUGCAACUGACUCACAGGCGGCUCCUUCUCGUAUUGGGCGUCAAUCCCUUCUCAAUACNAAUCCCUUCUCAAAUCCCCCCCCCCCAGGCGGUCUGUGGGGGUGAUUUGGGGGAGGGGGGACCGGGAGAGAGGGAGUUUUAUUGUCUUUAUUUUGCCUCGCAGGUAGCAACAUUUUUAAGUCACUAACAUUUUCCUCUGGACUCCUCUGAUUGUCAGCCCCAUCUUCCAAAACCCAGCUGAGGACCGUGAAGACGAAGUUGCUUUGAACGGGGCAGUUUUCUGAGAUCUUUGCUCUUACAGUCUCUAGUCUUAAAUCAUAACAGAGAUCGAACCGGAGCGGGGCAGGGGGCCGGGGGGGGGAGAGUCAACGCGCCUGCAGGAUUUAAAAGAGACAAAAAUCCGAGCACCAGCAGGUUUAAGUUCCCGGGCUCUUCGCCUGUAGCCCGAGAAAAACAGCUGUUUGCUGGCUCCGAAAGCCACGGGGGCUGUUUGUACACAACUAUGAAAAAGGGGAAAUGCGGCUCGCCCUGGAGUGCGAAUCUAAUUUGAAAAUGUAGCAGGAGUGAAGCUCGCCCACUUAAAAACCCAGUUUCUUAUUUCUUUUGAAGAUAGACAGGAACAUGGGCAGGAUGUUUAUACGGCGAAAUGUAAACAUCGUCUCAGGGGUUCUUUAAUAAAAUGAAAUCAGAAAGAAAACUCCCUGGUAGUUCGCAUAGGGCCCCGUGCUGCGCCGUAUAAAAUAGCGCACGUCGCUUGAUUUGCUGCCGGGUUAGACUUUUGUUGUUGUUUGUUGUUGUUGUGAUAUAAAUGUGUGUUGAUUUUUUCAGCUAUGCCCAGACUUUGAUCCUCAGAAGUAAUGGAUCUCUCUCUCUCUCUCUCUCACACACACAUACACACCACAUGGGGGGCGAGGAGGAAAAGGAAGGCAAAGCCUUCCUCAGACCCCCACCCCCCAAAAGUCUGACCACCUUUUCAUCAGUAAAGCUGUCACUCACUAAUCAAGCCAGUCGUUACUAGCCUCCAGGGCGCCUGACACAUCUGUGAUACCACCAACAGGGAUUUCACAUCAGGAUUUUUUUCUUCUUCUUUUCCCCUUGCAACGCUCAGAAGCAAUCGCCAGCGUUUGCAAGGGGUAGCAGGACGUGUGUUUCCAAGGGAAACAAGCGCAUUUCGGGACUUUUGCAGCUCAGUUCAGAUCUGUCAGUGUGCCUCGGUAUAUGGUUGUGUGUAACUGGCCCUUAAACCGGGCUAACAAUACGGAAAAGUGAAGCAUCGAUGACACGGUAUGCACUGCAGAGAAUGCUUUGCUAGUUGGGAUUUCACAGCUGGUAAAAUGCCCUAAACUGCAAGCGAGAAAGAAAGCUCUCUAAUAAAUAGCCUGGAUUCAGGGCCUGGGUUGCA
rnacentral:lncRNA from 1 species